AUUGAACGCUGGCGGCAGGCUUAACACAUGCAAGUCGAGCGGGGUGAUGGUGCUUGCACUAUCACUUAGCGGCGGACGGGUGAGUAAUGCUUAGGAAUCUGCCUAUUAGUGGGGGACAACAUCUCGAAAGGGAUGCUAAUACCGCAUACGUCCUACGGGAGAAAGCAGGGGAUCACUUGUGACCUUGCGCUAAUAGAUGAGCCUAAGUCGGCUUAACGAGUUGGUGGGGUAAAGGCCUACCAAGGCGACGAUCUGUAGCGGGUCUGAGAGAAUGAUCCGCCACACUGGGACUGAGACACGGCCCAGACUCCUACGGGAGGCAGCAGUGGGGAAUAUUGGACAAUGGGGGGAACCCUGAUCCAGCCAUGCCGCGUGUGUGAAGAAGGCCUUAUGGUUGUAAAGCACUUUAAGCGAGGAGGAGGCUCUUUUGGUUAAUACCCAAGAUGAGUGGACGUUACCCGCAGAAUAAGCACCGGCUAACUCUGUGCCAGCCGCCGCGGUAA
rnacentral:rRNA from 1 species